rnacentral:rRNA from 1 species
CCUACGGGUGUCAGCAGUGAGGGAUAUUGCGCAAUGGGCGAAAGCCUGAUGCAGCAACGCCGCGUGCGCGAUGAAGGCCUUCGGGUCGUAAAGCGCUUUUCGGGGAGAUGAGGAAGGACAGUAUCCCCGGAAUAAGUCUCGGCUAACUACGUGCCAGCAGCCGCGGUAAAACGUAGGAGGCAAGCGUUAUCCGAAUUUACUGGGCGUAAAGCGCGUGCAGGCGGUUCGGUAAGUUGGAUGUGAAAUCUCCUGGCUCAACUGGGAGAGGUCGUUCAAUACGGUCGGACUAGAGGAUGGCAGAGGGAGGUGGAAUUCCCGGUGUAGGGGUGAAAUGCGUAGAUAUCGGGAGGAACACCAGUGGCGAAGGCGGCCUCCUGGACCAUUCCUGACGCUCAGACGCGAAAGCUAGGGGAGCGAACGGGAUUAGAACCCCCGGUAGU